CGGGCAUUGCUGAGGCUCUGCAAACCUCUGAAGUGCACAGGAGGACCAGCUGGGGCAGCUGAGAGUAUUCAGUAACUCAGAGGUGGAUGGGAUAAUAGGAACAAGAAAAGCUCCAGAAAACAGGCUACCUGCAACUACAAGUGACAAAAGCAGCUCAUCAGCAGAAGCAAGAGUAAUGUGCUAAUGAUCAUUUUCCUGCCAGGCAAACCCCAGAUUUUCAAGCAAUGGAGCACAAACAAAUCUAGCAAAACCCAAGAAAAAUUACCCUGCAUCAAUAACAUCAGAAAGAACACAGAAAAGAAAGAUCAACAGAUUCUGUUGUGGGGGUGACAAAACUAAAACAAAACAGAAGGGAAGAAUUGCUUCAGAUUGAACUGGAAGAUUUGGCUUCUGAAACAAAACAAUACAAAGGCAAGUAAUGGCUACAGACAGUCCUCCGUUCAGCUCAAGACCUCCUGAUGCUGGGCACUGAAGCUAAAACACAGGCAGAGCACUGCCAUUAUAUCCCCCAUGUCAUCGGCCACAAAUUGCCUG